AUCGAAGUCAAGCUAAGUGGGGGCACGGUUUCGUCAAAAGAUGGGUUACCGUGUGCUGUUGGCAACAAAUAAGGGGAUAAAGAUGAGUACAGAAAGAGUGUGAGAUUUAAAAGUACGGACAAGUAUGACAGCAGUCGAUAAUGUUCGUUGGGCAUAAAGGGACGGAAAUGUCCCUAAAAUACGCCGCCCUAAUUUGGAGGUGAAGGAUGCGAAACGCAUCUGUUAACGUCCAAAGUCUGGGAAACAGUUUAUGCUUGUAUGGGUUGUUGCAACAUCACAUCGUUCACUCGAUAUCCUUUAAUGAAUUAACAGGAACUUGCAUCACUAGGGUGAUGCAGCUCGAAAAAAUCGUUAAACAUCGGCUUCCAUCAUGUUGUUCGAGAUAAACGUGUAUUACACUUUUCAUAUUGAGAAGCUUGUUGCAUGAAAAGGCGAGACGCGUAUGUGUAGGUACAAGUCAAUGCGCGUUACCUUGUGUGCUGUACCUUUUUAUGGAAUACCGUGGCUUUAAAGCACCGUGCCCAUUAAAAAUAUCAUAUCGGUCACUAGUUUUUAUAUUACUUUCAUUCCCAACAUUUCCCGCAAAAAGAAAGAAAUUUGGUCUUUUCACGUAUCCAAUACCCAACAAAAAAGACAUCACCAACCCUUAUUCACUGAUUUGGAUGAAACUUGAUGAGUUUAUAGAAUAACCCGAGAUAAGAGUAAAGGUAUGCUUCAUUCGUGCCCAAUCGCCCUUUAAAGGUAUAAAGACUAACCUCAAAGCCAAAUGGGCUUAGAUUUUUUUGUUAACCUAAGAGCUAAAGUUCGCAGUGUUCCCUGAAAAAUACUGAACACGAAGUCGCGGUAAAAUAAAAAUUCAUACGCUACGCUAUUGUUUUCUGUUUACCUCGACGGUUCCUAUCAAUUCGGACAUUUUCAAUCUCGUAAAAGUUCGAACUACUUUUAUACCGUAAAGUUUCUUUCAAUGAAUUCUUUCUGUUAUACCGGGUUCGCUUGUUGCGGUAAUUCGAGAUUCAGGCCGAUGUCCUCGCGUCUACGCGAGAAAAACAACGCGCACCAAGAUUGAACGUAAACAACAAACAUGUACAGAAUAUAUGAUAAUUAUAUACUCUACAAAAAUUA